CGGCUGCGUCUUUGGCGUCAUGUCAAGGACGUGCUGGUUUUCCCUUACAACGACGUCUAUUACAACGACGUCUAUGGCGCCGCUUUGUCGGGCGGCCGUCCACGCAUCCCUUCCACUCGAGGCUGAUUCAGAAGUCAGAAGUCAGAAGUCAGAAGUCAGAAGUCAGAAGUCAGAAGUCAGUUGGUGUUCUGACUUCUGAUCCCUGACGUCUGGAUCGGGCUGGUAGCUCAGCUGGUUAGAGCGCGCGCUUGAUAAGCGUGAGGUCGGAGGUUCAAAUCCUCCCCGGCCCACCAGUCAGAAGUCAGGUAUCAGAAGUCAGAAGUCAGAACACCAACUGACUUCUGACUUCUGAUACCUGACUUCUGGGGGGUGUAGCUCAGUUGGGAGAGCGCCUGCUUUGCAAGCAGGAGGUCGUCGGUUCGACUCCGAUCACCUCCACCAGGCGCGCCGGCACCAGGCGCGCCGGCACCAGGGCGGGCUGCUGUGGUC
rnacentral:tRNA from 1 species